rnacentral:rRNA from 1 species
GACGAACGCUGGCGGCGUGCUUAACACAUGCAAGUCGAGCGGUAAGGCCCUUUCGGGGGUACGACGAGCGGCGAACGGGUGAGUAACACGUGGGUGACCUGCCCUCAGCUCUGGGAGUAAGCCUGGGAAACUGGGUCUAAUACUGGAUAUGACUCCACGGUGCAUGUCGUGGGGUGGAAAGCCUUGUGCGGCUGAGGAUGGGCCCGCGGCCUAUCAGCUUGUUGGUGGGGUGAUGGCCUACCAAGGCGACGACGGGUAGCCGGCCUGAGAGGGCGACCGGCCACACUGGGACUGAGACACGGCCCAGACUCCUACGGGAGGCAGCAGUGGGGAAUCUUGCGCAAUGGGCGAAAGCCUGACGCAGCGACGCCGCGUGAGGGA